rnacentral:rRNA from 1 species
UCUAGCCUGCUCACUGAUAUAGAUAUUAAAUAGCCGCGGUAUCUUGACCGUGCAAAGGUAGCAUAAUCAUUAGUUUUUUAAUUGAAAACUUGUAUGAAUGGUUGGACAAAGAAGAAACUGUCUCUUUUAUUAAAAUUGAAUUUAACUUUUAAGUGAAAAGGCUUAAAUUUUUCAAAGGGACGAUAAGACCCUAUAAAGCUUUAUAAGCUUAGGGAUUUUAUAUAUUUUUUUAUAGUAAUAAUUUCUUGAAAGUUUAUUUGGUUGGGGCGACAAUAGUAUAAUUAAAAUAACUGCUUUAAAGUAAUACAAACAUAUUUGAAUUAUAAUUAGUUGAUCCUUUAUAAAGAUUUAAGAUCAAGUUACUUUAGGGAUAACAGCGUUAUUUUUCCUGAGAGUCCUUAUCAAAGGAAAAGUUUGCGACCUCGAUGUUGAAUUAAAAUGUCUUUAUAGUGCAGCAGCUAUAAAAGAAGGUCUGUUCGACCUUUAAUAUUUUACAUGAUUUGAGUUCAGACCGGUGGGAGCCAGGUCGGUUUCUAUCUUUUGGAAAGAAAGAAUUUACCUUAGUACGAAAGGAUUGGGUAAGUAAAAAGUUUUUAGUAGUUGAAAU